rnacentral:rRNA from 1 species
ACUCCUACGGGAGGCAGCAGUGGGGAAUUUUGCGCAAUGGGGGAAACCCUGACGCAGCAACGCCGCGUGGAGGAUGAAGUCCCUUGGGAUGUAAACUCCUUCGACCGGGAAGAUAUGACGUAC